GGGACUAUAGUUAAUAAUAACAUUUGAGUUGCAUUCAAAAAGUACUAAAUAUUAGUUAGCCUCA
rnacentral:tRNA from 2 species